rnacentral:rRNA from 1 species
GAUGAACGCUGGCGGCGUGCCUAAUACAUGCAAGUCGAGCGAACAGACGAGGAGCUUGCUCCUCUGACGUUAGCGGCGGACGGGUGAGUAACACGUGGAUAACCUACCUAUAAGACUGGGAUAACUUCGGGAAACCGGAGCUAAUACCGGAUAACAUGUUGAACCGCAUGGUUCAACAGUGAAAGACGGUCUUGCUGUCACUUAUAGAUGGAUCCGCGCCGCAUUAGCUAGUUGGUAAGGUAACGGCUUACCAAGGCAACGAUGCGUAGCCGACCUGAGAGGGUGAUCGGCCACACUGGAACUGAGACACGGUCCAGACUCCUACGGGAGGCAGCAGUAGGGAAUCUUCGGCAAUGGGCGAAAGCCUGACGGAGCAACGCCGCGUGAGUGAAGAAGGUCUUCGGAUCGUAAAACUCUGUUAUUAGGAAAGAACAAAUGUGUAAGUAACUAUGCACGUCUUGACGGUACCUAAUCAGAAAGCCACGGCUAACUACGUG